CCAAGGUAAGCAGACCUAAGCCAGGGCUGCCUGCAUCAUGUUUCCCACUGCUGGGAGAAAAACCUGCCCACUUGGGGAGAAAAUGAGGUCCCUGCAGAGCAGCCAGGACAGGAACAGAUGGCAAGAACGUGCAUUCUCAGCACUGAGGCCCCGGUUUCAGCCUUUGUGGCCCUCAGCAUGGCCCUGGGGCUGAAGCUUCCUCUGGUUUGAGUUUCUGUCACUGACAACCAUGGAGUUCUGCCUGACUCAGCACCACCGGGAAAGCGUCCAGAGGUCACUGGCAUCCCAUGGCUCCUGGCCGCUUCGUCCACCUUCAGAGCCGGCAAUGUUGCAUCUCUGCUGCUGCUUCGGUAAUCACAGCACCCUCGGAAAGGUUCUAUCACGGCUCCCUCUGACCACAGCUCAGAAAGGUUCCACCACGGCUCCCUCCGACCGCAGCUCAGAAAGGUUCUCUGAUUCUAAGGACUCGUGUGACUCGAUUAGGUCCACCUGGAUGACCCGGGUUACCCUCCCUAUGGCAAGGUGCCCCUUGCCCCACCUGCAAAGUGCCUUUUGCCACGUCAGGUAACCUGCACAGGUUUGGGGAAUUAGGGCGAGCUGAAUCGCCGAGCUCAUCGGGCCACAGGUGAGUUGAGUUGAAUUCUGGAAAGCAAGGGAGGCCUGGGCUGGCCUCUGGCGGUUCUUUUUGGAAGAAGAAGAUUCCACUAAAACCAGCUCAUUCUAGGACCACUUCCCAUCUUUCUGCUGUUUUUGACUCUUUUCAAAGAGGCCCUGUCUAGCCAAGGAGACUGGGUCACGUCUGCCAAACCUUUGCUUCAA
rnacentral:lncRNA from 1 species